rnacentral:lncRNA from 1 species
UCUCAUCCGAGAGCAAUCCAAGAGUUGGAAGAAAUAGAGAGUGAGAGAAAGAAGCUUCUGUGAAGCUUUAGAAAAUAGAGAGGGAGAAAGAUAGUUCAAAUAGAAGGGUGUUUUAUUUGGGUUCCAUCACAUAGUUAUUGUGGUGAAGUAAUUUGAGUUUGUACUCAAAUUAAGAUAUCUUUGUAUUCUCUCAUAUUAUUC